AUUGAACGCUGGCGGCAUGCUUUACACAUGCAAGUCGAACGGUAACAGGCCGCAAGGUGCUGACGAGUGGCGAACGGGUGAGUAAUGCAUCGGAACGUGCCCAGUCGUGGGGGAUAACGCAGCGAAAGCUGCGCUAAUACCGCAUACGAUCUAUGGAUGAAAGCGGGGGACCGUAAGGCCUCGCGCGAUUGGAGCGGCCGAUGUCAGAUUAGGUAGUUGGUGGGGUAAAGGCUCACCAAGCCAACGAUCUGUAGCUGGUCUGAGAGGACGACCAGCCACACUGGGACUGAGACACGGCCCAGACUCCUACGGGAGGCAGCAGUGGGGAAUUUUGGACAAUGGGGGCAACCCUGAUCCAGCAAUGCCGCGUGCAGGAAGAAGGCCUUCGGGUUGUAAACUGCUUUUGUACGGAACGAAACGGCUCCGGUUAAUACCCGGAGCUAAUGACGGUACCGUAAGAAUAAGCACCGGCUAACUACGUGCCAGCCGCCGCCGUAAAAC
rnacentral:rRNA from 1 species